AAAGAGAGAGAGAGAGAGAGAGAGAGAGAGAGAGAGAAGGGAGUAACAUGAGAAGAAGAAGAAGGAAGAGGAGACUCUGGCCGGAAGCCGCUGCUGCCGGGUCCUUUGACAUUGUCGCUAGAGCCGCCAGAGCUGCGGCCGUGCACACCAUCGACGUCGUCUUGCCUGCCAGCGUCGGCACUCGAGUCAAUGUCGCAACCCAUCAACUCCUCCAGUUGCUCAGCUUCAAGAGCAAGAAAGUGCAUCAAAGAGAAAGUGGUGGAUUUCUUCUUUAGCAUGCAUACAUAAAAAUGUACCCCAUAAUAUACCUAUGGUGGCCUUGUGGGUCCCACUGCCAGUAUUUUUCUCUCUCCUUUUCCUUUCCUACGCGUCGCCCGUCUUCCCCUGUCGCCUUCUCGAGCGUUCCUUCUCUCUGUCGCGCACGCGCCGCUUCGCCCUCUCUUACUCAAUAGGAAAACGAUCGCAACUGUUCGGCUUCCGUCUCUUCGUCACCCUCGUCCUCAUCUAAACCUCCGCAUCGGCUUCUGUGUAUUCCUCGCUCUCACCCUGAUCUCACCCUUCGCCGAAACCCUAAUUCCGACCCUAGAUUUCUUGACUCUCGCUGCCCAUCCCCUUUUGAUAGGAGCCUCUGCCUUCGCUCCAUCACCUCCUCGAUCCGCCUCUCCCACGCCAACAGGAACUAGAAGAGCACGAAGAGACCAAGGGUAUGGGUCACUCUCCUUAAGGCCAUAAAGAAAUACCCUUAUUUCCUAAAAGAACACGAGACCUCCCUCUGUAGAGAUGUCGAUUUCUUACUUGAGGCUUGGAAACUUUUUAUAUUCUAUCAGGUUCACUAAUAAUUCAACUGUCUAUUUGGAGUUCUUUGUUGUUGAGUGAAGCAUUGGAGGUGAUUUGGGUUAUAAUUUUGUCUAAGCUAUGGAACCAAAUAUUUUCAGUGGCUUUGUGAUGACGACAGAUAAUAUGAGGGCUCCGUUCACUGAACAUUCUUUGAUUGACACAAUUUGAUGAUAUUAGAGAUUAUUUUGU